CCUGGCGGAGAUAGCGCGGUGGUCCAACCUAACUCCAUGCCGAACUCAGCAGCGAAACGCCGUAGCGCCGAUGAUAGUGCGGGCCGCCUCCGUGUGAGAGUAGGAUACUGCCAUGC
rnacentral:rRNA from 1 species